GGGCCCGCACAAGCGGUGGAGCAUGUGGUUUAAUUCGACGCAACGCGCAGAACCUUACCAACCCUUGACAUCCCGGUCGCGCUUUCCAGAGAUGGAUCGCUUCAGUUCGGCUGGACCGGAGACAGGUGUUGCAUGGCUGUCGUCAGCUCGUGUCGUGAGAUGUUGGGUUAAGUCCCGCAACGAGCGCAACCCUCGCCUUUAGUUGCCAUCAUUAAGUUGGGCACUCUAGAGGGACUGCCGGUGAUAAGCCGGAGGAAGGUGGGGAUGACGUCAAGUCCUCAUGGCCCUUACGGGUUGGGCUACACACGUGCUACAAUGGCGGCGACAAUGGGCAGCGAAGGGGCGACCCGGUGCAAAUCCCAAAAAGCCGUCUCAGUUCGGAUUGUACUCUGCAACUCGAGUGCAUGAAGGUGGAAUCGCUAGUAAUCGCGUAACAGCAUGACGCGGUGAAUACGUUCCCGGGCCUU
rnacentral:rRNA from 1 species